rnacentral:rRNA from 1 species
UACGUAGGUGGCGAGCGUUGUCCGGAAUUACUGGGUGUAAAGCGCGUGUAGGCGGGAGGCCAAGUCUGUGGUGAAAUCGCUCGGCUUAACUGGGCGGGGUCCAUGGAAACUGGUCACCUGGAGGUCGGUAGAGGCAAGUGGAAUUCCCGGUGUAGUGGUGAAAUGCGUAGAGAUCGGGAGGAACACCAGUGGCGAAGGCGGCUUGCUGGGCCGGACCUGACGCUGAGACGGCG